UGAUCCUGGCUCAGGAUGAACGCUGGCGGUAUGCUUAACACAUGCAAGUCGAACGGGAUGCUUAGGCAUCUAGUGGCGGACGGGUGAGUAACGCGUGAGAAUCUGGCUCCAGGUCGGGGAUAACAGUUGGAAACGACUGCUAAUACCGGAUGUGCCGAAAGGUGAAAGAUUUAUUGCCUGGAGAUGAGCUCGCGUCUGAUUAGCUAGUUGGUGGUGUAAGGGACCACCAAGGCAUCGAUCAGUAGCUGGUCUGAGAGGAUGAUCAGCCACACUGGGACUGAGACACGGCCCAGACUCCUACGGGAGGCAGCAGUGGGGAAUUUUCCGCAAUGGGCGAAAGCCUGACGGAGCAAUACCGCGUGAGGGAGGAAGGCUCUUGGGUCGUAAACCUCUUUUCUCAAGGAAGAAGAAAGUGACGGUACUUGAGGAAUAAGCAUCGGCUAACUCCGUGCCAGCAGCCGCGGUAAUACGGAGGAUGCAAGCGUUAUCCGGAAUGAUUGGGCGUAAAGGGUCUGCAGGUGGAACUGAAAGUCUGCUGUUAAAGAGUUUGGCUUAACCAAAUAAAAGCGGUAGAAACUACAGAACUAGAGUGUGGUAGGGGCAAAAGGAAUUCCUGGUGUAGCGGUGAAAUGCGUAGAUAUCAGGAAGAACACCGGUGGCGAAAGCGUUUUGCUAGACCAUAACUGACACUGAGGGACGAAAGCUAGGGGAGCGAAUGGGAUUAGAUACCCCAGUAGUCCUAGCCGUAAACGAUGGAUACUAGGCGUGGCUUGUAUCGACCCGAGCCGUGCCGGAGCUAACGCGUUAAGUAUCCCGCCUGGGGAGUACGCACGCAAGUGUGAAACUCAAAGGAAUUGACGGGGGCCCGCACAAGCGGUGGAGUAUGUGGUUUAAUUCGAUGCAACGCGAAGAACCUUACCAAGACUUGACAUCCUGCGAAUCCUGGUGAAAGCUGGGAGUGCCUUCGGGAGCGCAGAGACAGGUGGUGCAUGGCUGUCGUCAGCUCGUGUCGUGAGAUGUUGGGUUAAGUCCCGCAACGAGCGCAACCCUCGUUUUUAGUUGCCAGCAUUAAGUUGGGCACUCUAGAGAGACUGCCGGUGACAAACCGGAGGAAGGUGAGGAUGACGUCAAGUCAGCAUGCCCCUUACGUCUUGGGCUACACACGUACUACAAUGCUACGGACAGAGGGCAGCAAGCCAGGGAUGGCAAGCGAAUCCAGAAACCGUAGCUCAGUUCAGAUCGAAGGCUGCAACUCGCCUUCGUGAAGGAGGAAUCGCUAGUAAUUGCAGGUCAGCAUACUGCAGUGAAUUCGUUCCCGGGCCUUGUACACACCGCCCGUCACACCAUGGAAGUUGGUCACGCCCGAAGUCAUUACCCCAACCGAAAGGAGGGGGAUGCCUAAGGUAGGACUA
rnacentral:rRNA from 1 species